AUUGAACGCUGGCGGCAGGCCUAACACAUGCAAGUCGAGCGGAGCGGCGGACGGGUGAGUAAUGCCUAGGAAUCUGCCUGGUAGUGGGGGAUAACGUCCGGAAACGGGCGCUAAUACCGCAUACUAUCAGAUGAGCCUAGGUCGGAUUCGCUAGUUGGGGGGGUAACGGCCUACCAGGGCGACCAUCCGUAGAUGGUCUGAGAGGCUGAUCAGGCACACUGGAACUGAGAGACGGUCCAGAGGCCUACGGGAGGCAGCAGUGGGGAAGAGGGGACAAUGGGCGAAAGCGUGAUAGAGCCAUGCAGCGUGGGUGAAGAAGGGCUUAGGAUUGUAAAGCACUAUAAGUUGGGAGGCGGUACCAGCAGAAGAAGCACCGGCUAACUACGUGCCAGCAGCCGCGGUAAUAC
rnacentral:rRNA from 1 species